rnacentral:rRNA from 1 species
CCUACGGGUGGCAGCAGUGAGGAAUAUUGGUCAAUGGACGAGAGUCUGAACCAGCCAAGUAGCGUGAAGGAUGACUGCCCUAUGGGUUGUAAACUUCUUUUAUAUGGGAAUAAAAUGUUCCACGUGUGGGAUUUUGUAUGUACCAUAUGAAUAAGGAUCGGCUAACUCCGUGCCAGCAGCCGCGGUAAUACGGAGGAUCCGAGCGUUAUCCGGAUUUAUGGGGUUUAACGGGGGCGUAGGUGGAUUGUUAAGUCAGUUGGGAAAGUUUGCGGCUCAACCGUAAAAAUGCAGUUGAAACUGGCAGUCUUGAGUACAGUAGAGGUGGACGGAAUUCGUGGUGUAGCGGUGAAAUGCUUAGAUAUCACGAAGAACUCCGAUUGCGAAGGCAGCUCACUGGACUGCAACUGACACUGAGGCUCGAAAGUGUGGGUAUCAAACAGGAAUAGAUACCCUGGUAGUC